rnacentral:pre_miRNA from 1 species
CAUAUACUCCCUCCGUCCGGAAAUACUUGUCAUUGAAAUGGAUGUAUCUAGAUGUAUUUUAGUUCUAGAUACAUUCAUUUUCAUCCAUUUUGAUGACAAGUAAUUCCGGACGGAGGGAGUAAAUA